AUGGACGGGAACAAAGGACCGGUGGUGGUGACCGGAGCGUCGGGUUUCGUAGGAUCAUGGCUCGUCAUGAAGCUCCUCCAGGUCGGGUACACCGUCCGGGCCACCGUGCGCGACCCGGCCAACGUUGAGAAGAACAAGCCAUUGCUGGAGCUUCCCGGAGCCAAGGAGCGGCUGUCCAUCUGGAAGGCCGACCUGAGCGAGGAAGGCAGCUUCGACGACGCCAUCGCCGGCUGCACCGGCGUCUUCCACGUCGCCACGCCCAUGGACUUCGACUCCCAAGACCCCGAAAACGAGGUGAUCAAGCCGACGGUGGAAGGGAUGCUGAGCAUCAUGAGGGCCUGCAAGGAGGCUGGCACCGUGAAACGCAUAGUCUUCACCUCCUCCGCCGGCAGCGUCAACAUCGAGGAGCGGCAGCGGCCAGCCUACGACCAGGACAACUGGAGCGACAUCGACUUCUGCCGCCGCGUCAAGAUGACAGGAUGGAUGUACUUCGUGUCCAAGUCCCUGGCAGAGAAGGCCGCCAUGGAGUACGCCAGCGAGAACGGCCUGGACUUCAUCAGCAUCAUCCCCACGCUCGUCGUCGGCCCGUUCCUCAGCGCCGGCAUGCCGCCCAGCCUCGUCACCGCCCUCGCGCUCAUCACGGGGAACGAGGCCCACUACUCGAUCCUGAAGCAGGUGCAGCUGGUCCACCUGGAUGACCUCUGCGACGCCAUGACCUUCCUCUUCGAGCACCCGGAGGCCAACGGCCGCUACAUCUGCUCCUCCCACGACGCCACCAUCCACGGCCUCGCCAGGAUGCUCCGGGACAGGUUCCCCGAGUACAGCAUCCCACAGAAGUUCGCAGGUGUCGACGACGACCUCCAGCCCAUCCACUUCUCCUCCAAGAAGCUCCUCGACCACGGCUUCAGCUUCCGGUACACCGCCGAGGACAUGUUCGACGCCGCCAUCCGCACCUGCAGGGAGAAGGGCCUCAUUCCGCUCGGAGACGCCCCGCCGCCUGCAGCCGGCGGCAAGCUGGGAGCUCUUGCUGCGGGGGAAGGCCAAGCCAUUGGUGCAGAAACAUAA
rnacentral:rRNA from 1 species